CAGCAGCCACGGUAAUACGAAGGGUGCAAGCGUUAAUCGGAAUUACUGGGCGUAAAGGGCUCGCAGGCGGUUUCUUAAGUCUGAUGUGAAAGCCCCCGGCUCAACCUGGGAAUGGCAGUGGAUACUGGCUCGCUAGAGUGUGUCAGAGGAUGGUGGAAUUCCCGGUGUAGCGGUGAAAUGCGUAGAGAUCGGGAGGAACAUCAGUGGCGAAGGCGGCCAUCUGGGACAACACUGACGCUGAGGCACGAAAGCGUGGGGAGCAAACAGGAUUAGAUACCCCUGUAGUCCCUGUCUCUUAUAC
rnacentral:rRNA from 1 species